UAGGGAAUCUUCCACAAUGGACGAAGUCUGAUGGAGCAACGCCGCGUGAGUGAUGAAGGGUUUCGGCUCGUAAAACUCUGUUGUUGGAGAAGAACAGGUGUGAGAGUAACUGUUCACAUCUUGACGGUAUCCAACCAGAAAGCCACGGCUAACUACGUGCCAGCAGCCGCGGUAAUACGUAGGUGGCAAGCGUUGUCCGGAUUUAUUGGGCGUAAAGCGAGCGCAGGCGGUUUCUUAGGUCUGAUGUGAAAGCCUUCGGCUUAACCGGAGAAGUGCAUCGGAAACCAGGAGACUUGAGUGCAGAAGAGGACAGUGGAACUCCAUGUGUAGCGGUGAAAUGCGUAGAUAUAUGGAAGAACACCAGUGGCGAAGGCGGCUGUCUGGUCUGUAACUGACGCUGAGGCUCGAAAGCAUGGGUAGCGAACAGGAUUAGAUACCCUGGUAGUCCAUGCCGUAAACGAUGAGUGCUAAGUGUUGGAGGGUUUCCGCCCUUCAGUGCUGCAGCU
rnacentral:rRNA from 1 species